CCUACGGGUGGCUGCAGUGGGGAAUUUUGGACAAUGGGGGCAACCCUGAUCCAGCCAUGCCGCGUGCGGGAAGAAGGCCUUCGGGUUGUAAACCGCUUUUAGCCGGGAAGAAAAGGCAAGGGAUAACACCCCUUGUUCUUGACGGUACCGGCGGAAUAAGCACCGGCUAACUACGUGCCAGCAGCCGCGGUAAUACGUAGGGUGCGAGCGUUAAUCGGAAUUACUGGGGGCGAUUCGUGAGGAGGGUGGUGAAAGCCCCGGGCUCAAGCUGGGAAUGGCAAUGGAAACUGUCGGACUGGAGUGCGGCAGAGGGGGGUGGAAUUCCGCGUGUAGCAGUGAAAUGCGUAGAGAUGCGGAGGAACACCGAUGGCGAAGGCAGCCCCCUGGGCCGACACUGACGCUCAGGCACGAAAGCGUGGGGAGCAAACAGGAUUAGAUACCCCUGUAGUC
rnacentral:rRNA from 1 species